ACCAGGAUGGCUCAGUUGGUUAAGCAUCUGACUUUGGCUCAGGUCAUGAUCUCAUGAUUCAUGGGUUCAAGCCCCAUGUCAGGCU
rnacentral:tRNA from 1 species